GUGGGAGGUUCUGGGUGCAGGGCACUGUGUAAGGUCGCGGGUACUAAUAGAGCCAUUCAUCACCAUUCAUCACUACAUGCCUUAAAGUGCUUUUAACAAGGGCGGUGUGAUCAGGUCAAAACAAUAAGAAGGCGGAAUCAUGCAGGACGCUGUGGGAGCACAGAGAGGAAGCAUCCUUGGCCCACAGAGUAGGGUGGGUUUAUUCCCUUCCAUUAGGCGGCCCUUCCUCCAUGUAGAGAGAGAUGGACAGAACUCCCUGGCUACAACAUCCUUAUAGCUUCCAGACUCAGAAGAAAGACUUCUCUCUGUGUACACAAAUGUAGCAAAUCUCCACCCCAACUAGUCAGUUCUGGGGUUUCCCUGUGGCUUUGGAGGCUGUCCUGGAACUAGCUCUUGCAGACCAGCCUGGCCUCGAACUCACAGAGAUCCGCCUGCUUCUGCCUCCCGAUUAAAGGUGUGCACCACCAAUGCCCGACCUUAUUACAGUUUUUUGAGACACGCUUUUUUCAAGCUGUCCAGGAACUUGCUCUGUGGACCUGUCUAUCCUCAAACUCAGAGAUCCACCUGCCUCUGCCUCCCAAGUGCUGGGAUUAAAGUGCUGGGGGUCUAAUUCACUUCAGUGUCCUAGAGAAGUAUCCCACCACUGAGCUACAUUCUGACCUCUAAGGUGAAAUUCAACACAUACAACAUUUGGCGUCUGGACACCUCGAGCACAGCUCCUGGUCUGUGGAAUGCCAUUUACUGCUUACUCUCACUUCCCACUCCCCAGGCCCUAUCCCUGGUUCCUCCAUUUUCAUCUGCCCUUGAGCAGUGCUCGGCCAGAACAGGUUUUUAUCACCAGAGCCCUCAGCUCUACAACCGUAGUGACCUGACAGAUGAGAACUGUUCAGACCUUCCAUUACAGGGUCUCCCGCCCCUUCAACUACUUGUCACCCUUAUUCUGAAAGAAAAAUCGAAUCGAAUCGUGCUAAGCUGGGAUCCUUCUGCUUUAAAAUGCCAAUAGGAGGUGAACACACUAGGCACUCCUGGCUAACUCCAACUUCUUCUUCCUGCUCUGCUGUUUGUGAUGGGAACUUGAAAACAAUUUAUCACAGUAAUGAUUGCUGAUGCCAACACUCCGGUGACUGAUGGCCACGUUACCUGGAGCAUGUCUUCCUGGCUCUCUCUCCACUAAAGAGUAAUUGUGGAGGGUUGGUGGAGAUGGGGGUGGCUAAAGGCUGAGGCAGGGAGAAUCUCAGCUCAGCUUCUCACCAGCCCCGAGUCAGGAGAGGCGGGAGGAAUAGAAGCUAAUGGCUGAGAUGGCUCAUAGAGAGAAUGUCAAAUCCGUCCGUUUAGAAGGGCAUUUCAUCUCUGCCUUUCUAAAUGGCCUCUGACAUGCUCUCUCUAGAAAAAUUCAUCGCUGUAGACUCUGGAAAGAUGGAUCAAUGCCAAGUGAGUACUGUGAAAGCAGCCGACCAGGAAAAGGCUGAGCAUGUCCACUUCAAGGGCAGCCCAAAAGGAGGAACACAGAGCUAAAGCAAUACGGAUUGACAUAGGCUGAAGGGAGACAUCCCUCCACCUGACAAAAGUAGUUCAGGGGACAAUUUCUUUUCCAAAGAAACACUUCAGAAAGCUGCCAAAUGUGUAUGUGUGUAUGUGCAAGUGUGUUUGUGUGUGUAUGCAUGUGUGUGUAUUGUGAGUGUGUGUGUGUGUGUGUGUGUGUGUGUGUGUGUGUGUGUGUGCAUGCACAUAUGUGUGAGUGUGGUAUCCAUUUAUGCCUAUGCCUGAAGAAUGGGGCUCAAUCAUUU
ensembl:lncRNA